rnacentral:rRNA from 1 species
CUGACGUAAGCGAUGGAUAACAGGUUUAGAUUCCUGUACCACGCAUUAUCAGAACUGUAGGGACGCAUGUGGAAAGCACGGGCCGGGAAUGGAAAGACCGGUACAAGCGGGGUAGGUGUACAAUAGGCAAAUCCGUUGUAUAAUCCGAAGACGUGAUGUGGAGCGAAAUAAAGUAGUGAAGCGUGUGAGCCAUGUGCCGAGAAAAGCUGCUAUUGUGUAAUGCGUGCCCGUACCGUAAACCGACACAGGUGGAUGAGGAGAGAAUCCUAAGGCCGGCGGAAGAAGCAUUGUUAAGGAAUUCGGCAAAAUGACCCCGUAACUUCGGGAGAAGGGGUGCCUGCGAGAGCAGGCCGCAGAGAAUAGGCUCAAGCAACUGUUUAGCAAAAACACAGGUCUAUGCGAAACCGAAAGGUGAAGUAUAUGGGCUGACGCCUGCCCGGUGCUGGAAGGUUAAGAGGAGAGGUUAGCUUCGGCGAAGCUUUGAAUUUAAGCCCCAGUAAACGGCGGCCGUAACAAUAACGGUCCUAAGGUAGCGAAAUUCCUUGUCGGGUAAGUUCCGACCCGCACGAAAGGCGUAAUGAUUUGAGCACUGUCUCGACGAUGCAUCCGGUGAAAUUGAAGUACCAGUGAAGAUGCUGGUUACCCGCGCCAGGACGGAAAGACCCCAUGGAGCUUUACUCCAGUUUGAUACUGGGAUUCGGUACUGCAUGUACAGGAUAGGUGGGAGACGAAGAAGGAUAGACGCCAGUCUGUCCGGAGUCGCUGUUGGGAUACCACCCCUGUAGUACUGGGUUUCUAACCAGUUGCCAUGAACUGGCAAUGGGACAAUGUCAGGCGGGGAGUUUGACUGGGGCGGUCGCCUCCGAAAGGGUAUCGGAGGCGCUCAAAGGUUCCCUCAGAAUGGUUGGAAACCAUUUGAAGAGUGCAAAGGCAGAAGGGAGCUUGACUGCGACACCGACGGGUGGAGCAGGUACGAAAGUAGGACUUAGUGAUCCGGUGGUAUAAAGUGGGAUUGCCAUCGCUCAACGGAUAAAAGCUACCCUGGGAUAACAGGCUUAUCACUCCCAAGAGUUCACAUCGACGGAGUGGUUUGGCACCUCGAUGUCGGCUCAUCGCAUCCUGGGGCUGUAGCAGGUCCCAAGGGUUGGGCUGUUCGCCCAUUAAAGCGGUACGCGAGCUGGGUUCAGAACGUCGUGAGACAGUUCGGUCCCUAUCCGGCGCGGGCGGAGGAUAUUUGAGAGGAGCUGUCCUUAGUACGAGAGGACCGGGAUGGACGGACCACUGGUGUAUCUGUUGUCGACCAACGGCAUGGCAGAGUAGCCAAGUCUGGAAGGGAUAAACGCUGAAGGCAUCUAAGCGUGAAGCCCCCCUCAAGAUGAGAUAUCCCUCCUUCGGGAGUAAGACCCCUUGAAGACUACAAGGUAGAUAGGGCAGAGGUGGAAGCAUGGCAACAUGUGGAGCUGACUGUUACUAAUAGGUCGAGGGCUC